ACAUGAAUAGCUCAGUCAGCAGAGCAUGUGACUCUUAAUUUCAGGGCCAUGGGUUUAAGCCGCAUGUUGGGCA